AGUCGAACGCGCAGUUUCCUGUAGCAAUACAGGAAGCCGGCGCGUGGCGAACGGGUGCGUAACACGUGGAUAACCUUCCUUCAGGUGGGGAAUAACCCAGUGAAAAUUGGGCUAAUACCGCAUAACAUGACGAUGGCACAUGCCGUUGUCUUCAAAGCCGCAAGGCGCCAGAUGAGGGAUCCGCGGCCGAUUAGCUUGUUGGCGAGGUAAUGGCUCACCAAGGCAAUGAUCGGUAGCCGGACUGAGAGGUUGGCCGGCCACACUGGAACUGAGACACGGUCCAGACUCCUACGGGAGGCAGCAGUGGGGAAUCUUGCGCAAUGGGCGAAAGCCUGACGCAGCAACGCCGCGUGGGGGAUGAAGCUUCUCGGAGUGUAAACCCCUUUCGACCCGGACGAAUGCCCGCAAGGGUUUGACGGUACGGGUAUAAGAAGCCCCGGCUAACUACGUGCCAGCAGCCGCGGUAAAACGUAGGGGGCCAGCGUUGCUCGGAAUUACUGGGCGUAAAGGGUCCGUAGGCGGUGUGGCAAGUCGGAAGUGAAAUCUCUGGGCUUAACUCAGAGGCUGCUCCCGAAACUGCCAUGCUAGAGUGCGAGAGAGGCGAGUGGAAUUGCGGGUGUAGCGGUGAAAUGCGUAGAUAUCCGCAGGAACAUCCGAGGCGAAAGCGGCUCGCUGGAUCGCAACUGACGCUGAGGACGAAAGCUAGGGGAGCAAACAGAUUAGAUACCCUGUAGUCCUAGCCCUAAACCAUCAGACUUGGGGUUUGCCUGUACGGGGCAAGUCCCGUAGCUAACGCGUUAAGUCCUGCGCCUGGGGAGUACGGCGCAAGGGCUGAAACUCAAAGGAAUUGACGGGGCCCGC
rnacentral:rRNA from 1 species